CCUACGGGUGGCAGCAGUGGGGAAUAUUGGGCAAUGGGCGCAAGCCUGACCCAGCAACGCCGCGUGAAGGAAGAAGGCUUUCGGGUUGUAACCUUCUUUUGUCAGGGACGAAGCAAGUGACGGUACCUGACGAAUAAGCCACGGCUAACUACGUUCCAGCAGCCGCGGUAAUACGUAGGUGGCAAGCGUUAUUCGGAUUUACUGGGUGUAAAGGGCGUGUUGGCGGGACUGCAAGUCAGAUGUGAAAACCACGGGCUCAACCUGUGGCCUGCAUUUGAAACUGUAGUCCUUGAGUACUGGAGAGGCAUACGGAAUGCCUGGUGGAGCGGUGAAAUGCGUAGAUAUUAGGAGGAACACCAGGGGCGAAGGCGGUCUGCUGGACAGCAACUGACGCUGAGGCGCGAAAGCGUGGGGAGCAAACAGGAUUAGAUACCCGAGUAGUC
rnacentral:rRNA from 1 species